CCAGAUAAUUGGAUGACUGCUUUCUAUGAAAGAGGAAAGUCCGGGCUCCACAAGACGAUGGUGCCGGGUAAUGCCCGGCGGGGGUGACCCUAGGGAAAGUGCCGCAGAAAAUAAACCGCCCUAAUUGAAAUUACUGAGGGUAAGGGUGAAAAGGUGAGGUAAGAGCUCACCGCUUUUUUGGUAACAAAAAAGGCAUGGUAAACCCCAUUAGGAGCAAGAUCAAAAAGAGGUGUGUGUUUUUUUGAGUCUUCACAUUUGCACCCGGGUAGAUCGCUUGAGAUAAUUGGCAACAAUUAUCCUAGAUGAAUAGUCAUUAGUUAAUACUUUAAAAGAUUCGAAGUUUUAUUGUAUUAAUCACAGAACCCGGCUUAUAACCAUCUGGUUAU
rnacentral:RNase_P_RNA from 1 species